rnacentral:rRNA from 1 species
GACGAACGCUGGCGGCGUGCCUAACGCAUGCAAGUCGAACGGGGUGAAGAGCUUCGGCUUUUCACUUAGUGGCGAACGGGUGAGUAACGCGUGAGGAACCUGCCUCUCAGUGGGGGACAACAGUUGGAAACGACUGCUAAUACCGCAUAAUAUGUACGGAUCGCAUGGUCUGUACAUCAAAGAUUUAUUGCUGAGAGAUGGCCUCGCGUCUGAUUAGCUAGUUGGUGGGGUAACGGCCCACCAAGGCGACGAUCAGUAGCCGGUCUGAGAGGAUGAACGGCCACAUUGGGACUGAGAUACGGCCCAG